UUUAUUAUCGAACCUUAGCUUUUACAGAUUGAUGUGUUAUUGUUGCGAUUUUAACUCUGUUUUAUACACGUUGUCUCUGGAAUUAAAUUUGAUCUGCCUUGUACUUGCUAAGUUGUGCUAAUAUAACCUGAAUGUAGUCGUUUAUACCGGUGCUAUGCGAAGUAACAAAAUGCUGUCCAAGUUCAUUCUGGCUUUGAUCCAAGUGUACGAAAGGGCUUGCUCAUCAGUAUCUGCCUGAGGUUGUGUUUGGCCUUGGUUGUAUGCGUGCAUCGUGGUUGUGCGGCAAUAUUUUCAUUUGAAAUCGGGCAUUUAAUUUCAACGAUGAUGCGGGAAGAAUGUGAGGAAAUGCUGCAGAUCCUUCAACAGCAGUAAGAGACAGAAGUCUUCCCCUACUCACAUACCCACGGACUCCCAAAUGUGAAUCCAGUGAAGCAGGAAAUUCACGCAAACUCACUUGCUUAGUCUCACACACACACAUAUUCUCAGCUUUGAGAAAUUUUCUGCACUGACCCGCCCGUCCGCCUUGCAGCCCCGGACGACGCCAUGUUGCUACCCAGCACUUCUUUGCCCCUGCACGGAAUACGGUGGCAGCCCUGCUUCAGUAUAUCUUAUCCCUUCACUUCAGUUCUAACAGUAGUUGGAUGCCUCCUUCUGACGGCGUUGCUGCCACAGCCUGUAAAUGCCGCAUGGCAAGACGAGUACAGACCGAGAGUGCGGCUGAACGUGCCACAGGACGAGAGAGUGCAACGUUUCCUUGGUAACCAGACCCACAGCGACCACUUCAAGUUGUUAGAGAAAGACGGAGAUCACUUACUCGUCGGAGCUAGGUAAUAUUUUAUACA